CCAUAUGGGGAGUAGUUUGUUAUGUCACUAGGGUGAGGAAAUUUGCAGAAGUUCUUGAAGAGUGGGAGCGGGAUUACUCACCUCAGAGGUUCAAAUUUAAAGAUUUGUACAAGGCCACUAAAGGGUUUAGAGAUAAGGAGAUACUGGGUAGAGGAGGAUUUGGAAAAGUAUACAAAGGUGUGAUGCCUAGGUCUAAAUCUGAGAUUGCUGUUAAGAGGGUGUCUCAUCUCCCUCUCAAAUUUGGAGCACUGAUUUUUUACAUUUUAAUCAGUUUUCUUACGACCUCAAAAUCUGUCGAUGAAUUCUCUUACAAUGGAUUUCGAUCGGCAAAUCUGAGCCUCGACGGCAUAGCAAAGAUCACGCCCAACGGUCUCCUGAAACUAACCAAUUUCACCACACUACAGAAAGGUCAUGCCUUUUACCCUGAUCCCAUUAUAUUCAAGAAUUCCUCUUAUGCCUCAGCCUUUUCCUUUUCUACAUACUUUGUUUUUGCAAUGGUGAUUGGGACCAAAGAUUUCGAGUCAUCAAAGGUGUAGCAUCUGGAUUACUUUACCUACACGAAGAAUGGGAGCAAGUCGUGAUCCACCGAGAUAUAAAGGCGAGUAACGUUUUAUUGCAAUGGUGUCUGGCUAUGAGAAUUUGGGUGGUCAGGGAAUUAUUUUCGUGCUUUCGCCGAGCAAAAGAUUUGAAAGAGCCAGUUCGGGAUUAUACUUCGGCCUACUCAAUCAAACCAACAAUGGCAAUUUUUCCAACCAUAUUUUUGGAGUGGAACUCGAUUCAUUGAAAAAUGUCGAAGUUCAAGAUAUCGACGACAACCAUGUUGGUAUUGAUAUUAAUGGAAUGAAAUCUGUAUCUUCAAAUACAGCUGGGUAUUGGGAUAGUGAAGAUUUGUUUCAUAAUUUGACACUUAACAGUGGGCAACCAAUGCAACUUUGGGUUGAAUAUGACGGUACAGAAAAGCAAAUCUCUGUUACAUUAGCUCCACUGAAUGAUUCCAAGCCAAAUAGAACUCUUCUGCAGAUAUCCUAUGAUUUAUCACAUGUCUUAAAACCAACUAUGUUUGUUGGCUUCUCCUCUGCAACUGGCCCUAUUCAAAUAACUUCCCAUUAUGUUCUUGGAUGGAGUUUCAAGAUCAAUGGUAUGGCUCAAUCACUUGAUCUCUCUCGACUUCCUAAACUGCCUCGUGUUGGUCCCAAGAAGAUAUCGAAGGUUUUAACCAAUGGAGGGUGUGAUGGUGUCCCCUUGUGGUCGUAUCCUUCUUCUACUACUUCUCAAACGGUAUUUACACAAGCUUCCUCGGUUUCAAAUUUUCUCCUAUCUGGAGGCCGAUGAAAAUAUUAUGCGUUAUAAUACUGUGAUAAGUUCACUUGUGUAACCAUAUGGGGAGUGGUUUGUUAUGUCACUAGGGUGAGGAAAUUUGCAGAAGUUCUUGAAGAGUGGGAGCGGGAUUACUCACCUCAGAGGUUCAAAUUUAAAGAUUUGUACAAGGCCACUAAAGGGUUUAGAGAUAAGGAGAUGCUGGGUAGAGGAGGAUUUGGAAAAGUAUACAAAGGUGUGAUGCCUAGGUCUAAAUCUGAGAUUGCUGUUAAGAGGGUGUCUCAUGAAUCAAGACAGGGGAUGAAAGAAUUUGUGGCAGAAAUUGCAAGCAUGGGUCGACUACGCCAUCGGAAUUUGGUGCCUCUAUUGGGAUACUGUCGGCGUAAAAGUGAACUUCUGUUAGUCUAUGAAUACAUGCCGAAUGGAAGCCUAGACAAGUUUAUCCAUGACCAGCCUAAGUUUACUCUCAGUUGGGACCAAAGAUUUCGAGUCAUCAAAAGUGUAGCAUCUGGAUUACUUUACCUACACGAAGAAUGGGAGCAAGUCGUGAUCCACCGAGAUAUAAAGGCGAGUAACGUUUUAUUAGACGGGGAAAUGAAUGGAAGAUUAGGUGAUUUUGGGCUUGCAAGAUUGUAUGAUCGUGGGGCAGACCAUCAGACGACUCAUGUGGUUGGGACACUAGGGUACCUUGCCCCAGAGCAAAAUAGAACAGGAAAGGCCACAACAAGCACUGAUGUUUAUGCUUUUGGGGCAUUUUUGCUUGAGGUUGCCUGCGGGAGAAGGCCAAUAGAUCCCAAAGCUGCCUCUAAUGAUCUAAUAUUGGUAGAUCAAGUGUUUUCCUACUGGAACGAAGGUGACAUUUUCCAGGCAGUCGAUCCAAAUUUAUGUAAUGAUUACGUAAAAGAGGAGAUGGAAACAGUGUUGAAGCUUGGUUUGCUAUGUUCUCAUUCAGAGCCAAAAUUUAGGCCUAGCAUGCGUCAAGUUAUGUUGUAUCUGGAAGGCGCAUUGGCUCCGCCAGAAUUGUCUGCAAGUGGCCUAAAAUUGACACAACAUAAUGGAGGGUGUGAUGGUGUCCCCUUGUGGUCGUAUCCUUCUUCUACUACUUCUCAAACGGUAUUUACACAAGCUUCCUCGGUUUCAAAUUUUCUCCUAUCUGGAGGCCGAUGAAAAUAUUAUGCGUUAUAAUACUGUGAUAAGUUCACUUGUGUAGAGGGUAUUUUCUUCCUCAUACUGUAUUUGGUUUCUUGCUGCUCCUUGUAUCAGUAAUUUCCAUGGGUUCUUGAAAUGUCAUCUCUACAUCGCUCUUAUCUAAAUUCGAAAAUUGGGAGCGGGAUUACUCACCUCAGAGGUUCAAAUUUAAAGAUUUGUACAAGGCCACUAAAGGGUUUAGAGAUAAGGAGAUGCUGGGUAGAGGAGGAUUUGGAAAAGUAUACAAAGGUGUGAUGCCUAGGUCUAAAUCUGAGAUUGCUGUUAAGAGGGUGUCUCAUGAA
rnacentral:lncRNA from 1 species